GACAGAGGGUGCAAACGUUGUUCGGAAUUACUGGGCGUAAAGCGCGUGUAGGCUGCUCAGAAAGUCGGAUGUGAAAGCCCUGGGCUUAACCUAGGAAGUGCAUUCGAAACUUCUGAGCUUGAGUUCUGGAGAGGAAGGCGGAAUUCCCGGUGUAGAGGUGAAAUUCGUAGAUAUCGGGAGGAACACCUGUGGCGAAGGCGGCCGUCUGGACGAUUACUGACACUGAGACGCGAAAGCGUGGGGAGCAAACAGG
rnacentral:rRNA from 1 species